rnacentral:rRNA from 1 species
GAUGAACGCUGGCGGCGUGCCUAAUACAUGCAAGUCGAGCGAACAGACGAGGAGCUUGCUCCUCUGACGUUAGCGGCGGACGGGUGAGUAACACGUGGAUAACCUACCUAUAAGACUGGGAUAACUUCGGGAAACCGGAGCUAAUCCCGGAUAAUAUAUUGAACCGCAUGGUUCAAUAGUGAAAGACGGUUUUGCUGUCACUUAUAGAUGGAUCCGCGCCGCAUGAGCUAGUUGGUAAGGUAACGGCUUACCAAGGCAACGAUGCGUAGCCGACCUGAGAGGGUGAUCGGCCACACUGGAACUGAGACACGGUCCAGACUCCUACGGGAGGCAGCAGUAGGGAAUCUUCCGCAAUGGGCGAAAGCCUGACGGAGCAACGCCGCGUGAGUUAUGAAGGUCUUCGGAUCGUAAAACUCUGUUAUUAGGGAAGAACAAAUGUGUAAGUAACUAUGCACGUCUUGACGGUACCUAAUCAGAAAGCCACGGCUAACUACGUG